rnacentral:rRNA from 1 species
CCUGCAGCUUGCUGCGGGUACUCGAGUGGCGAACGGGUGAGUAACACGUGGGUGAUCUGCCUUGCACUUCGGGAUAAGCUUGGGAAACUGGGUCUAAUACCGGAUAGGACAGCUGUUUAGUGUCAGUUGUGGAAAGUUUUUUCGGUGCAAGAUGAGCUCGCGGCCUAUCAGCUUGUUGGUGGGGUAAUGGCCUACCAAGGCGUCGACGGGUAGCCGGCCUGAGAGGGUGUACGGCCACAUUGGGACUGAGAUACGGCCCAGACUCCUACGGGAGGCAGCAGUGGGGAAUAUUGCACAAUGGGCGGAAGCCUGAUGCAGCGACGCCGCGUGGGGGAUGAAGGCCUUCGGGUUGUAAACUCCUUUCGACAGGGACGAAGCGUAAGUGACGGUACCUGUAUAAGAAGCACCGGCUAACUACGUGCCAGCAGCCGCGGUAAUACGUAGGGUGCGAGCGUUGUCCGGAAUUACUGGGCGUAAAGAGCUCGUAGGUGGUUUGUCGCGUCGUCUGUGAAAUUCCGGGGCUUAACUCCGGGCGUGCAGGCGAUACGGGCUGACUUGAGUGCUGUAGGGGAGACUGGAAUUCCUGGUGUAGCGGUGAAAUGCGCAGAUAUCAGGAGGAACACCGAUGGCGAAGGCAGGUCUCUGGGCAGUAACUGACGCUGAGGAGCGAAAGCAUGGGUAGCGAACAGGAUUAGAUACCCUGGUAGUCCAUGCCGUAAACGGUGGGCGCUAGGUGUAGGGGGCUUCCACGUCUUCUGUGCCGUAGCUAACGCAUUAAGCGCCCCGCCUGGGGAUACG